UACUUCUGGAUAAAAGUUACA
ensembl:piRNA 21ur-124 ncRNA